UACGUAGGGGGCUAGCGUUGUCCGGAUUUAUUGGGCGUAAAGAGCGUGUAGGCGGCCAGGUAGGUCUGCUGUGAAAACUCGAGGCUCAACCUCGAGACGUCGGCGGAAACCAUCUGGCUAGAGUCCGGAAGAGGAGAGUGGAAUUCCUGGUGUAGCGGUGAAAUGCGUAGAUAUCCGGAGGAACACCAGUGGCGAAAGCGGCCACCUGGACUGCACCUGACGCUGACACGCGAAAGCUAGGGGAGCGAACGGG
rnacentral:rRNA from 1 species